rnacentral:rRNA from 1 species
GACGAACGCUGGCGGCGUGCUUAACACAUGCAAGUCGAACGGAAAGGCCCUGCUUUUUUGGGGUUCUCGAGUGGCGAACGGGUGAGUAACACGUGAGUAACCUGCCCUUGACUUUGGGAUAACUUCAGGAAACUGGGGCUAAUACCGGCUAGGAGCUCCUGCUGCAUGGUGGGGGUUGGAAAGUUUCGGCGGUUGGGGAUGGACUCGCGGCUUAUCAGCUUGUUGGUGGGGUAGUGGCUUACCAAGGCUUUGACGGGUAGCCGGCCUGAGAGGGUGACCGGCGACAUUGGGACUGAGAGACGGACCAGACGCCUACGGGAGGCAGCAGUGGGGAAUAUUGCACAAUGGGCGGAAGCCUGAUGCAGCAACGCCGCGUGCGGGAUGAAGGCCUUCGGGUUGUAAACCGCUUUCGCCUGUGACGAAGCGGGAGUGACGGUAAUGGGUAAAGAAGCACCGGCUAACUACGUG